CCCCACAAUGCCGCUCAGAAAAUGGUCCCAACCCGGAAGUAAGAAAAAUUGCAGUUCCACCCUCAUCCGCUGGGGGCUGGUACCAGAAGCGAGCAAAUCCUCAUUGACUCCCAUGUUAAAAAUGCCAUUUUCACAGCAGAAAUAAACAUGUUUACAGCCUGGUUCAAAAAAUGUUUUUUUGUCUAAAUUAUCUAGUUUAUACUCAUGACAACUCUGAGGGGGGUGAAUUUUUUUCUCACUCUUCUGUUUAAGUGUAUUGAAAGCCUAAAAUUCUGUAUAAUUAAUGAGCAUCCGACACACGUGACCGCCGCCUCAGACCCACGUGACCACAGAGCUAGCUCCGUGGAAAGGCCUCAGUACAGCCUCGGUCUCUCCUGGAAACUGUGUCGGGAUUUUGAGUCUCUGUGCUUGUGAAUUCUGUUUUGGAUAAUAUUGGUGCAAUUGUUGGACAAAAUGACUUGCUGUGGUAUUAAUUGCACUAAUAGAGCGUCCAAGGAGUCUCCACUUCAUUUUUUUUGGGAAGGACCUGAUUGGUGUCCAGAACCUGCUGAAGAAGCACGAGGCUCUGCAGGCUGAGAUCACAGGUCAUGAACCUCGCAUCAAGGCUGUCACCCAGAAAGGAGAGACCAUAGUGGAGGAAGGUAGAGCAGGUCUGGUCCUGACAUGUUUCUGAGGUGUCUGCAGGUUCUGGCUCACUUUGUUUGGGUCCAGGUCACUUCGCUGGUUCAGAACCCUCGGCCCGUCAGAACAUUCUUAUCCACCACGUUCUAACACCAGACCUGUUAACCCGACAGCAACAAGUGGCUCCAACUGACGAUGAGACCGGGAAGGAGCUGGUUCUGGCUCUGUACGACUACCAGGAGAAGAGUCCUGGAGAGGUCACCAUGAAGAAGGGCGACAUCCUCACGCUGCUCAACAGCACCAACAAGGUUGUUUUACUUGAACUCGCGUCUUUAGCUGAAUGAGGAUGGAGAGACGGGUCAGACCUGGAGCAGGUCGAGGUCUUGCAGAAGAAGUUUGACGACUUCCAGAAGGACCUGAAGGCCAACGAGUCCCGCCUGAGGGACAUCAACAAGGUGGCAUCUGAACUGGAGUCAGAAGGUCUGAUGGCUGAGGAGGCUCCUAUGGUUCAGGCUCAGCAACAAGAACAUCUGGGUUCUGCUCCUGGAAAGGAUGAAGCCGACUCUAACCCCGGCUUUCCACAGGAGUCGUCAGCAGCACGUUACUGCAGCAGCACGUCAUAGCUGCUGAUAGGAACCGCUGUGGUCAACAGAACCUUUUCCACCGGAGCCGUCAGCAGCGCGAGUCGGCCACGUCUCAGGAGCAGCAUGUCGCGGCCCUUACGCGCCGGUUCUAUUUUCUACGCGCGACGCCUCUGAAACGAGUCAAGUUCGACAUUUUUGGGGAAGGAAAGACAGGAAAUCGGACGCGGAAAUUGAGAGAAGCUACCGAGAUUUUCAGAAUAAAGAACGUACUGCCUUCCGGUUGCUUUACUUUUAAAAAAGGUUACUAACUGAGCGGCCCCGUGAGAAGUUAUCACCUAGCUAGCGGUCUCCUUUGUUUUUCAGGUCCGUAUUGGCGAUUAUAAAACGGACAGAACAUAAAACACAAACCAUGUUGUAGUUUUCUCCUGCUUGUUGUUGUGUUUACUGACGAAGUCACUCGUGUGACUUCAUGCUCGGUCGGUGACAGCUGCUCCCCUGCUGCUUCGCGUCUCGUGGGAAGGGCCGAGCAGCAGCUUACGCGAGCAAGACGUGCUGCUGCAGUAACGUGCUGCUGACGGCUCCCGUGGAAACCCGGGGUAACACGGCGUCACCCUAGAAGGAAUUCAGGUGACCCGGCAGGCACCAGGUGCUGGUGAAAGUGGGGACAUGUCAGCUGGUUGCCAUGGCUACAGUUAUCUUUAUGCAUCUGUAUGACUGCUGACUGGUGUGUGUUUCCUGUGACCUUUGACCUCAGACCGUACGGUUGGGCGUUCAGACGACGGCUAACUUUAAUUCCAUCAAGGAGCUGAACAACCGCUGGCGCUCGCUGCAACAGCUGGCUGAAGACCGGAGCAACAUGCUGGGCAGCGCCCAUGAGGUGUAGCGCUUCCACAGAGACGCUGAUGAGACCAAAGAGUGGAUCGAGGAGAAGAACCAGGCCCUGAACACAGACAACUACGGCCACCACCUGGCCAGCGUUCAGGCUCUGCAGCGUGAACAUGAAGGCUUUGAGCGUGACCUGGCAGCUCUGGGUGAUAAGGUCCGCUUCCUGAUCGGUACCAGGACCCGAGUUGUCUCUGGAGACACGUUCUUCAUGGUUCUGGUGACUCCACCCCAGCCGUUCCUGAUCAGUGAUCAGCGGGGUGCUUUCCUAUUUAAGGUGGAUGGAGGACACAAUUUGACGCCAGAAGAUUGCCUCAGUUUUGGAUUCCUGUCGACCUCAUUGGAUACUGACCUCUACUCCAGGAUUUGGAUAUUCAACACACGGACCUUAUCACCACCCUCCAUAACCCACCUCUCAUCUCACCCAGUGCCCCAUCCACCAGGACGCCCCGCUUCUCUCCACCUCUGCUCUCUCUCCUGCGCUUCCCCCCGGCUCUCUACCUCUCCCUCCUCCAGCCAACACAUACACCCCCCACAAUGCUGAGCUGUUGUUGCAGUUCCAACCACAGACUUAUCUGUGCACCUUAAGUUCCACCUUAUAAAUAAAUCAUUUUUUCCAUCAGUUUUUGGUCAGUGUUGUAUUCUGCAUGUCUUGGGUUAAGUACCUUCCUCCAAACAUGACACUCCUCUUCAAAGAGCAAAUCUGUUCAGCACAUUCUGACAGACAGACCACCAUUCUUCUGUCAUGAUGCUGUACAGGACAUUUUUAGAGUUUUUCUUUUUAAAGAUAAAUAGGAUUACAUUUAAAUAGCAAUACUUUCACAUUAUCAUUUUCCCACACUUCUGUAUAACUGUAUUUUGUUGUUUUUCAAUAAAGAAUGACAAAUUA